rnacentral:rRNA from 1 species
UACGAAGGGGGCUAGCGUUGCUCGGAAUUACUGGGCGUAAAGCGCACGUAGGCGGCUUGUUAAGUCGGUGGUGAAAUCCUGGAGCUCAACUCCAGAACUGCCUUCGAUACUGAGAGUCUCGAGUCCGGGAGAGGUGAGUGGAACUGCGAGUGUAGAGGUGAAAUUCGUAGAUAUUCGCAAGAACACCAGUGGCGAAGGCGGCUCACUGGCCCGGUACUGACGCUGAGGUGCGAAAGCGUGGGGAGCAAACAGG